rnacentral:lncRNA from 1 species
GCCAUCCUUGCAGCCUAGGAAUGGAUGGGCCACAGAGGCAACACAGGACAGUAAGAACCAAAGAUGAUAAUCCAGGCAAAGACAAAUUCCUCUGCUGCACCUGGCUAGGGAUUUCACCAGAUCUUUAGGGACCAAAGUUCACACUAGCCAGACAGUUUUGUGGUAUUAGGGCACCUGUAUCUGUAAUUAUACCUAAAUUGAACAAUACGGUAAACUGCAGUAAACUAUGCUAUGGAUUUAAUAAUUUUCAAUUAAUCUUUUUAUUGUAUUAAAAAAAAAAAAGGCCAGGCUGGGCACGGUGGCUCACACCUGUAAUUCCAGCACUUUGGGAGGCCGAGGCAAAUGGAUCACUUGAGCUCAGGAGUUUGAGACCAGCCUGGCCAACAUGGCAAAACCCCCAUCUCUACCAAAAAUACAAAAAUUAGCUGGGCGUGGUAGGGGGCACCUGUAGUCCCAGCUGCUCAGGAGACUGAGGCAGGAGAAUCACUUGAACCCAGGAGGCGGAGGUUGCAGUGAGCCGAGAUCGCGCCAUUGCACUCCAGCCUAGGUGACAGAGCGAGACCGCCCACCCACCCCCAACUUUUUUUGAGACAAAGGCCAGAGUUCCAGAACCUUUUCCAAUACUGUGACACAUGGACAGGGUAGAUCUCAGACAGACAAUCCACAGUGAGGUUUCUGGCACCCGGGGUGUGCAGUCCACACACAGGAACAGGAUGUUUCCAGCAGGAGGAGGAAGCACAAGGUUACACAGGCUUCAGAGUCAGGCUGCCAGGGAUCAAAUCCCAGCACCUCCUUUUUCCUGUGAUGGGGCUUGUUCAACUUCUUUGAUAUCUCUAAACUAGGGAUAACAACAGCACCCGCUUGAGACUAUUGGGUGGAUUGACUGAACUCAUCUAUGUAAAAUGCCCAGCACACAAUAAGCUUCAUCAGCUGUUAUAAUUAAGGUCAGUCCUUGAAAAGGCUUAGUGGAGUUUGGGCAGGUGGCUACACGGUGGGAGAGGAUCCAGCUGUGCCUGUCAGUCCCCAGCUGCCGGCCACAUGGAUGCUCCCCACUCCCCUAGCCACCUCUGCCUGUGUACGCUUCUGACACUACGCUGCCUCUGCUUCCCUCUCCCUGUUCCAGCACGUCGGGCACACACGUGGAGUUGCACUAAUGCCAUUCCGCUGCAGCUUUCUGCAUGGCCCACACCCAUCUUUUCCUGGGUGUCCACUCUCAGCCAGUCAGGAUGGUGGUUGCCCAUCCUGCAGGGGUCCAGGACCUGUAGCCUGUGUGAUAGACACCAGCAGCAGCUAGUCUAUCAGCCACCUCAGUAGAGGCAGGUGACAACAGUGCAGGCUCUUUCAUGAUGGUAGACUUUGGAAUUAGUUACAGAUGAGUAAGAGAAACCCAUAGUGAGGGAGGGGGUCUUACCGGUUCAUUCAUCCAUUUAACCACCAUUUACAGAAUGCCCACUGUGUGCCAGUCAGUAUCCAGAAUUCCCAAAGAGGCACCUAACGAAUGGGAAUGCAUGCAGCCUGACAGUGUGGGUGGCUUGUCACUUACAGCAGCCUCCUGCCCAGGUUUCUUUAAGCCUUUCAAGGACUGACCUUAAUUAUAACAACAGCUGAUGAGUGCUUAUGUGCCAGGCAUUUUAUAUGGACGGAUUCAUUCAGUCCACCCAACAAGUUUGAGCAGGCACUGUUGUUAUCCCCAUUUCACAGAUGAGGAAGCAGACGCAAAAAAGGCAACCAGGCAAAGUCCCUAUCGCCCAACCUACCCAGAAACCAACAGACCCCAGGGCACUUCGAGCUGGAAAGGGCUAGAAAGCUUACCACUUUUUUUUCUUUGAAGCUGAACACUUCUUUGAACGCUUUCUCUAACAUCGAUUUAAGGAUAUCUUUGAUCUUUGUGGAAACAAAGAAGAAUGCUUUAAGACUGCGCUUAGAAAUCUGGCCGUUUGGUUUUAAGGUCAUUGGCCUCUGCCUACCGUGCUCCUGAAUGAAUAGCUCAGGACUUCCAGGGCUACCUUUGGGCCAAAAGUUAAUAAUUUACAGCUGAGCAAGUGUAGGUAAACUGCCACUUUACAGCAAGCUUCUAAUCCCUCACUGAUCACUUUGAAAAUUACAAAGGACAUUCACUUCAAGUGUGAGCCAAUUCAGAAUCAACCUCAUGCUAAUUUGAUAUAAGCUGUUCACUGAGGGAAAAAGUCCAAAGGAGGUUCUAACUUAUUUUCUAAAUGGACAUCGUAUCAAAAUUAAAAAUUCAAUGACAGCAUCUUUUAGCUCAAUCAUAGUUAAGUAUAUAAUACUGCUGAAUUUAAAGUCAGCAGAGAUUAUCUAGACUUUACUAUGAAAUAUAGACAAGCUGUGCUUUUAAAAGGUUUAUUUAAAUUACUGAUUAUAAAAGUAAUCCAAGCCCAUUUGUGAAAAUUUGGAAAAUGUGGAAGAGUAUAAAGAAAAAAAAAACUACUCAUUCUAUGAGCACCGAGAGAUAAACGUUAUCAUGUUGGCGCACUUCCUUCUGGCCUUUUUCUCCAGAUCAGAGGAAGAGGAAGGGUGGUGUAUCUUCAUGAAACUACUAACCCAAACCCAGAACACAGCCAUCUCGCUACUAAAGUCUCAGAGAUAUUGAGCUUGGACUUCGACCAUGGGUUCUGGAGUCCAUUCAAUUCCCAGCCUUGGCCAUUCCUGGCUGUGUAAUUUCAAGGAAAUUACCUAAACACUCUGAGUUUUGAUUCUAUCGUCAAUAAAAUGAAGGAAAUGCUAGCAUUUGCCAUGUACAUUGACAUAGGGAUUAAUCAUGGAAAUAAAGAGUUGAGGUCCAUGUCCUGGUACAGAGACUCAAAAAAUCCUCAGUGAUGGUAGAUGCCAGCUCCCUUGGGGAAGGAAAUAUGAUGGCUCUACUUCUUUGGAGUUUAGACGAUGUCACAGAGCCUUAUCCUGAGGAGCUCCCUGACUCUGCAGAGGCCAUGAACAAUGUCACAAACAGAGUUGGACGACAGUGGUGCCAUCAGGAUGCAGGCAUCAGCACUGUAUCCUGAAUAAUGGUACCAUUAAGAGUAACUCCCCUUGAAUGGCUCACACCCCCCAUGACACAUUACAGACUACACAUCUUGAUGUUACCACAAAUCUCUAGAGGCCCUUGAUGUAUUCAAGUCUUCUGUGUAAUAAGUCACAAAACUAGUGCUGAACUUAGCUGAGUUGGAAAAAAAAAGAAAAAGGGCAACGACAAACCACCUGUGACCCAGGCACCCAGCAUCUCUCAGUAAGACAUUUGCCCUUAAGUCAAAGGCAAGAACUCCAAAAGACAAGCUAAAAAAGAAAAACAGAAAACGUUUUUAAAGAUAUAUCUUUUCUUCCUUAAAGUCCUGCAUCAAAAUGACACAUCCACCAUCUAACAAAUUAAUAAAUUCCCUUAAAAUUAUAAAUCCAGCAUGGUCUAGACUGUGGGGCAAAAGGCACUCACACCCCAGGGGUGAAAAUGUAAUCUUGCACUAGGUUUUUAGAGGGUAACUUGGCAACAAAUAUCAAAAGCCCUAAAAAAAAAAAAAAAAAAAAAGUCUACACUGGGGCCGGGCAUGCUGGCUCAUGCCUGUAAUCCCAGCACUUUGGGAGGCUGAGGGAGGUGGAUCACCUGAGGUCAGGAGUUCGAGACCAGCCUGGCAACAUGGAGAAACCCUGUCUCUACCAAAAAUACAAAAAUUAGCUGGGCAUGGUGGCAGGCACCUGUAGCCCCAGCUACUCGGGAGGCUGAGGCAGGAGAAUCGCUUGAACCUGGGAGGCAGAGGUUACAGUGAGCCAAGAUUGUGC